rnacentral:misc_RNA from 1 species
CGAAUGGGUCCAAAGACUCUUAAAACCUACCGUGCUCCCCUACGUGGACAUCAGGAAAGCCCUCCGGGGUAUAAGAAAUCUGAGAAGUUGAAGAACUGCGCUCCGGCGCAUGACUAAGACAAAAAAUUA